AUUGAACGCUGGCGGCAUGCCUUACACAUGCAAGUCGAACGGCAGCACGGGAGCAAUCCUGGUGGCGAGUGGCGAACGGGUGAGUAAUAUAUCGGAACGUGCCCAGUCGUGGGGGAUAACGUAGCGAAAGCUACGCUAAUACCGCAUACGAUCUAUGGAUGAAAGCGGGGGAUCGCAAGACCUCGCGCGAUUGGAGCGGCCGAUAUCAGAUUAGGUAGUUGGUGAGGUAAAGGCUCACCAAGCCGACGAUCUGUAGCUGGUCUGAGAGGACGACCAGCCACACUGGGACUGAGACACGGCCCAGACUCCUACGGGAGGCAGCAGUGGGGAAUUUUGGACAAUGGGCGCAAGCCCUGAUCCAGCAAUGCCGCGUGCA
rnacentral:rRNA from 1 species